ACAGGCGUGGCAAGCGUUACUCGGAAUUAUUGGGUGUAAAGGGCAGGUAGGUGGCCUGACGUGUGAGGGGUGAAAUCCUGUGGUUUAAUCACAGAACAGCCUUUCAAACUAUCAGGCUUGAGAGUGAGAGAGGAAGAUGGAAUUCCCGGUGUGAUGGUGAAUUCUUUAGAUCUCGGACAGAACACCAAAGGCGAAGGCAACAAUCUGAGUCACUUCCGACUGUGAUCUGCGAAAGCUAGGUGAGCGAUGAG
rnacentral:rRNA from 1 species